rnacentral:misc_RNA from 1 species
CUGGUGCUCAUCGUUGGCGCCGCUUUCGCACAUCUGUCUGCCUGCGCACGUGUACGCGGACUUCACUGCCUGCUUGCAAGGCGGGUGAAAGGAACAGCGGUACAAACGGAUAGGCGAGCAAAGGUAUUGAGUCGGACUUGGCUGUCGCCCGAUGAGAUGAGCGAGAUGCAGGAGGCGCUCAAGAAGAAGGAAGCUUGGGAUCGCCAUCUUGAGUCGACGUUGCUGCAACUGAGUUAUUUCUACACCAGCCGCAUCGAGCCGGUAGAGGCCUCCUACAACUACAAUGUGUUCCGUCCCACGUGGUUCGCUGAGUCGAUCAAGCAGAAAAUGCCGUUCGUGACGUUUCUCGGGCCUUUCUCAUCCGGCAAGUCUUCCUUCCUCAACUACCUGCUGCAGGGCGAUUAUCUCAUGACAGGACCGCAGCCCGUUACUGACAAGUUCACCGUCGUCAUGUAUGGCGAGCAGUUCCAGCAGAUCCCAGGUCGUGUGCUCAUGGCAGACAGCCGACUGCCCUACCGCGGUCUCUCGCAGUUCGGCGACGCGUUUGCGGAGUUCUUCGCCGGUGUGGUGGUACCUCACCCAAUACUGCGCUGCGUCUCGUUCAUCGACACUCCUGGCAUCCUUGAAGCUUCUGGCGAUAUGCACUCCCGCCGAUACGACUACAUCGAGGUGUGCCGAUGGUUUGUUGAAAAGAGCGACCUCGUCUUCUUCUUGUUUGACCCGACAAAACUGGACGCCGGGCCAGAACUACGGCAAGUGUUCAGCAAGGCGCUCCUCCACGAGGAGAGCAAGAUACGCAUCGUUAUGAACAAGGCCGACUCAGUGAGGGCACAAGAGCUGAUGCGAGUGUACGGCUCCUUGUACUGGAACUUGUCGAACUUGGUCCACUCAACGGAGCCGCCGCGGCUGUACGUGUCCAGCUUCUGGGAUAAACCGUACCACGACGGCACCGACCACGCGCUCUUUGAGAAGGAGAAAGAGGAUUUGCUGUACGAGCUAAUCGUCACGAUCCCGCUGCAGUCGCUCGAUCGCCGCGUCACGUCCAUGAUGCGACGCGCGAGUGACGUGCUGCUGUUCGCGCUCAUCUGCGCCAGCUACCGAACCCGCUUACCGGCUGUCUUUGGCAAAAACAAGGCGAAAGAGCGCUUCUAUGAGGAGUACGAGACCAUCGUAAAGGACCUGGCCUCGCGCUACCACACCAGCGAGAACAGUUUUCCCACAUGCGCGGAUGUGCGCGCCUUCCUGACCAGGGUCGACUCGAAGGACUUCCCUGACAUCGAGAAGCUGGAGAAGCGCGGGUGGAUCAAGUUGCUCAAGAGCACCAUCGACGUAGACCUCCCACGUCUGCUCCAGCCGCUCAAGGAAUACUCGAUGAGCGACCCGCGGGAGCAACGCGACGCCAUUAAGCUUCAGCGCAAGUAUAUGCAACAGCGAGCCAGUGCAGCGCCUCCGGCUAGGGCAGCUACCGUAGCAAGCCUUGGGGGCAAUGACCCACCUAGCGCCACCCCGAAAGCCGUGGUGUCACCGCCCCCUGCAGCAGCACCUGCUGCAGGCAGUGUCUCGUCUACCACCGACACGCAGGCGCAGAUGUUAACGAUGAUGCUGCAGAUGCUGGCCGCGCAGCAGCAGCAGCAGCAGGCUAGUAGCCCCUCGACUGGUCAGGCAAGCCCUGGCGCAGCAACGACGGCCUCGAAUGACCAGAUGGAGCUCACAAUGCAAAGUAUAAUGGCCAUGCUGCAGCAGCAGAUGCAACAGCAACAGUCCCAACAACAACAGCGGUAGGGGAGAGAAACGAGAGAGGCAACCCCCUUACCGCGUGACGCCCACAAAAAAGAAACAAGCCGCUGACCAAAAGCGUGUGCCAUAAAGGAAGGAUAGGGCAGGGAUCGGUGAAGCAGGGAAGCGAUUACGAGUUGCAACUUCUUGUUUUGUCUUUGACGAUACAGUGACGAUGUGGACUUGUUUCGAUCUUCUUCGACCUCUUGGCCUCAGCGGUCUCGCCCUUCCGUCUCGCUUUCUCGGUACCAUAAAAAAAUCAGCGAUAGUGCUGCUUGCGCAUGUUUAUGCUCGAUGGCCGUUUGUCGUGCGCGUGCGGGGUCUGGUGGGGGUGGGGAGGGGGAUUCGGGCCUUCUUCUUAUAGGCGUUACAUGCUUCCGUCGACCCCUUCCCCGCGUAGAGGGCCGCCGUCUCCGGCUGCAGACGCACGUAUGCCAUGGGAGCAUCGAUGCAGUUUUCUUUCCCUGUGUGUGUGUGUGUGUGUGUCUGUAUGCGUGCGCCCGUUUCGGCGGAUUGGGGCAUCAACUCGAUCGGUGGCUUCCUCACCUGGCUUCCGUUUUUCCCUGUGGGGUGAAUUUUGUGUGGCUCAGAUGACUCCAUCGUGCACAAACACACACACACACACACGCACAUCUAUGUGUUCAUGAUUCACCUUUUGCAUGUUGCUUCAUUUUUUUUUGUUGUUGUUUUGCUGUGGUGCUUCUAUCUUUUUUUUUUCCUCUGUCCUCAUCCCCGC